rnacentral:rRNA from 1 species
CAAAAGUCUGAUCCAGCAAUUCUGUGUGCACGAUGAAGGUCUUCGGAUUGUAAAGUGCUUUCAGGUGGGAAGAAGAAAGUGACGGUACCACCAGAAGAAGCGACGGCUAAAUACGUGCCAGCAGCCGCGGUAAUACGUAUGUCGCAAGCGUUAUCCGGAAUUAUUGGGCGUAAAGCGAGUCUAGGCGGCUUGUUAAGUCAGAUGUGAAAAUGCGGGGCUCAACUCCGUAUUGCGUUUGAAACUGGCAGGCUAGAGUACUGGAGAGGUGGGCGGAACUACAAGUGUAGAGGUGAAAUUCGUAGAUAUUUGUAGGAAUGCCGAUAGUGAAGACAGCUCACUGGACAGAUACUGACGCUAAAGCUCGAAAGCGUGGGGAGCAAACAGGAUUAGAUACCCUGGUAGUCC